UAAAAAGCAAUCUGAGAAAAUUCGAAAAAAUCCGAAAUCAAAGGGGGGAGGUGGGAAAUGUGUGUUUGAUUGAAAACGAGGGCGCACGAUGACAGAUCAAAAUAACACUGCGGUGACAGUUGACAGCUAAUUUACUCACGUCGCUUGAACUUCAUGCUGGUCUCAAAGAGAGGCUCGUGCACGGAGCGGGCAGAAGAUUUGGUGAGCAGAGCUCGCUUCAGAAGCGCCGAGUGGCCGAUCAAACUAGUCGAAGUCAGUUGCGUCGAGCACAUGUGCUUGCAUAUUUCGCCUCGCUCGCCAAUGAAAAAUGCAAGAACACGGAUGUCAGCCUCUUUGAUUCGGCUUCCAACACUCUCCGUCGGCCGUGCGACACGUUUCCGUAGCGCGGCCCUUGCGAAUCACUGCCGAAACGGCCAGAAAAUGUCACUCAAGACGUAAAGACACACUCGCAGCACGACAGGACGGGUCAAAGUCAAAUAACAUCAAUUUGACAGCAGCACUUAUACGUUUCCACCGUCAUCAUUGCAAAUUGUAGAGGACAGGAUGAUAGAAACGAGAUAUUCAAUACAAAAAUAUUAUAGUAAGGUCCUGAGAUGAGUAACAUUGCCGUUGCCAAAAUACUCAGAAUGAAUCCAAUUGCGCCGUGUUAUAUACUAGGAUUUUAAAUGUAUCAGAAAAUUAAGUACGAUUUUUUAUUUUUGAAAAGUUUCUCAACGACUAAAUCAUAAGCUCUAUACGUUAAUAUGCGUAUUUUUCAUGUUUUCGUUGCACUGCUCUCUGAAACUUUCAAAAGCAACAUUAUAUUUGAUAAAUUUGAUUAUAUUAUAAAUUAUUUAAAUUUUCUGUUCCGGUAGAUUUUUUGUAUUGGUAUUUUCCGUAUUUUCAGUGUUGAAACAUUCUUGAGUUUUUUUUAACGGUUUUUCCUAAAAUAUUAAUCUCAUUGUUAAGAUUUUGAAUGUGUGCUUGGCUUGAUUAAUUUCAAACCGGCACUGACUCUCGCAGAACCAGUCUCUUGCUUUUUGAAUCUUUAUUUUUCGACUUUUUGUCGCAUUCGCACAUUACUUUGGCGGGGUUUCCUUUGAAAGGGACGAUUCGCGCACGCGCACGAGUGCAGAAAGCGCCAU